CCUCUGGAAACCAGCAGGAGUCCAGAAAAGCGUUCCCGUGGUAUGCCAUAGUGAUUGCUGCGGUCAGCCUGCCGAUCCUCAUUUUCCUGAUUUACAAAUGUUUCCACCCCAGAACCAUCUUGAAGCAAUGCAUUAAAUCGCAAGAUGGCGAAAGCGGUUAAGAUGCAGAAGAUGAUUGUACUCGCAGGUACAGAAGAAAUGAUCGCACAAUUAUCUUGAAGACCAUUGCAGAUGACAACUACA